UAACGACUAUGAGGUAUCAUAUCCAUUUCCGGAUGUACAGUAUUUCGUUGUCCUGUUGCCAUGGUGACUCGUAAUAUCUUCACUCCAUUGAUCAGGGCUUUGUAUCGUCGCGGUGCACGCGCUUAACUCUGAGUCAGUCAACUCAGAGUUGCUUAAACCAACUCUUUUCAGCUGUUCUGGAACCGAAAACUCCAGGUUUGCAAACUCAGAGUAAAUCAACUCAGAGUUUCGUUUUAACUCAGAGUUUGUUAAACCUCCUUCUUGAAGCGGGCCCCUGAUCUGAAGAAAACAAACUUUUAGCAACAUGUUUUCAAAUAAUUAGGCCAUUGUUUUAUAUGUUUCUAUGCUGAUAGAUAAUAUUACAUUUUACAUGUUCUAUAAAGUUCAGCCUUGAUGUUGAAGAUUUUGUGAGUUGGCAGAUUCAAACUUGGUAAAUAAACAUUGGUUAAAAAACAUAUGGGCAGUUCUGACUACAAAUGUUUUGUGAAAAAAAAGGACUGCUGCUUUACUUGUCAGGCUUUUGCAGAUAUCAGACCCACAUGCACAGCGCGGACAGGUUGGUGGUUUAAGAGGUGACAGUCUUUAUUACGUAACUUAAGGCAAGGCAAGCAGAGUUAUACACAGGUGCUCUCAGACGUGAACACCAAAGGAGCAGGCUCUAAUCUUGGUCAAACGGUCAGGUACGUUACCAGUCUUUCCACGGCAAAAGUACAGGCAAGGAGCAGGCAGGCUUAGAUAGAUAGAUAGAUAGAAUACCUUUAUUGUCCCGCGAUGGGGAAAUUACCAUGAUGCACAGAGACAUAUAGACAUAUAUACAGAAGAAAUAACACAAUAAUAAUUAUAAGAAAUUAGUGUUAUGGCAAAAAUUGUCUCUUCCUUAUUUCUAUGUCUCUUCCUUAUUUCUAUGCAGUUAUUAUACGAGUUAUGACUUAUGUUCUGCAAUUAAUAUCUUAUGUUUUGUCUUACUGUAUGCAUUUGACAUUUCACCUAGAUUGUUCAAUGGUUGUCUCUGCCUGAUAGACUCUCAACUCUAGCUCCCAAACCCAAGGUCGGGGAGUUGUGUCUCUGUCUGUUGAGACUUGGUGCUCCUUUCUCACAGAUAGUUGGACGUCAGCGAUGCAGGUGUGAGAAAGUAAAAAUCUUCACACACACUGCGACAGGGAGGAGAUGGUGCAUGUAAUUUGAUUGGGUUAGAAAGACAUUCCACCCUAGUCGGACAGAGAAGCUAAAAGGCAGAAGCAACUUGAGGAUCGUGGGCUCUUUGCAUCACACCUUCGUGGUGUGUGCACUGAUCUCCCCAGCUGGUUUUUGGUUUGUUGAUGUGCACGAUCAACAUCCAUGCUUUUUAUUUGCUUUCCCCAUUAUUUUUAUUUUCUUUAUUAUUUUAAUAAAUCGCACAAAAGGACAACUCUCUCUCAUCUACUUCUUUAUGGAAAAUUUCCACCACAGAAAUUGGCGUUGUCGGCAGGAUCCCGCGGCAGGUCGUCUGGACGGUGUGACCAGGGACGAUAGUCCUGAGGACUAGGGUCGCUCAGCCUCCAAACCUCUACAGACAUUCAGAGCUGGGAGGACUGCUCAUCCGUCUGGAUCGCCUCUGACGAGAUCCUUGAACUCAGAUUCAAACUCAAAUCCUAAUUUGGCUCGGCUCGGUGAGAGAGAUUCCUUUGAUUUGUGAAAAACAAAAAGAUUGGAACUUUUUUUUUAAAUUUAGCUGAAACAUUUCAAUUGGUUGAAAAAAAAAGAAAAAGAAAAGAAAUCUUCUAUUUGGUUGAAACACUAAAUUUGAUUAGGAAAAUUAAUUAGAUCGAGAAAAAAAAUCCCAAUAUUACAUGUUCUUAAUUAGGUGAAAGUCUGCUCUGGGUGGUGAGACGUCGGUUGCUAAGGGUUGGCUCGUGGAACCGAGCUUCCGUCUGUACUGAGGAUACAGACAUGUUUUUUUGAUCUGUGCGUGGUCCACACGUGGGGGACUGAGUAUAAAAGACGGCUUCUGAAAGAGGGAGCGCGUUUGCAGAGUGAAGUAUUUUCAAGAUACGAGGGACCCGGGCCUAGAGGGGCCUAACGUUGAGGAAAUACUUCGUGAAAGGCUCUGUCGCCAGAUCAGGUUGGUUCCCUUUUUACGGAGACGUCCGAUAAAAAGGCAUUUUGGGAAGGUUCCGGCCGGAACACACAAAAAAUCUAAGGCAGGAAACCGCCGGACUCUGAAAGACGGGUUCGGGGCAAUUUGAGUCUUCACCACCAGACAGAAACCGUACAAAACUAAACGUAAUUAAAGUAAAUAUGGUUAUUAGUGCGUUUCAUGUUUCCAUGAGUGGGAAACUGGUUAUGGGUUCAAAAGGAGAAUCGCUUUGUGUAAGGACAUACGCACCUUAAAAGAAAAAUUAGAGACAAAAGAAAAUACUUGAAAAAGCAAAACUAUCAACACUAAAGCCCUAAAAGAAACAAAAGAGAGAUGAGAGUAACAGGAAAAAAGGAGAUAACAACUCUGGGGAAGAAUUGUUUGCACUCUGCCACACACACACCACACACACACGUCAUGUCAAGAGCAAAUGCUCCCAUUGUUUCUGCUCUCUAUUCUAAUGCAGAACUGAGCGGGAUGAGGGUAAAUCCGGAUCUGGACUCCUUUCCCACCAUCAGCAGAAGAACCGAAGGAGAAGAAGCGCCAACCAACAACCAGAACAGGGUGGAAGCUCUGACACCACAGCAGCUGGAGGACACAGACCACAGCAUGGACGCCUCAGCGACUCCCACAACGCCUGCAGCCAUCACGUUCUGGGCUCAUCAGAUGAACCAGCUACUACAAGCAUGUGUGUCUGACACAGACACCUGCUUAUGACAAUCAGCAAAGGAAAACAAGCACAGAGCAACAGCAGAGAAGACGUGCUCUGACACAGACACUGGUUGAAACAACAGGAGAGGCUUCAGACGUGAUCGGCACAAAAGAGCUGCAUCCGAGCAUCCAGGAAAGGUCUGUCAUCGAGGAACAACUGUCCCAUUGAAAGGCUUCACCCACUGGCGCUCACAUCAGACUGAUGGUUGGGGAAGGAGGAAGGUGACGGUUCCUUUUCACGUGACGUACAAGACGGUACCGCAAACACACACACACAUUCAUACACGCAAUGAAGAAACACGCUUACAGCUGAUACACGCUCAAAUUCAUGUUCAUGCUUAUCUGCUCGCAAUGAAGAAUCGCUUUUUGCUUAAAAAAAUCCCACAGAGUGAUUUUACAAUGAUGACAAACAGCUAAAUGACAACUGCUGCAUGACUUUGCAGUCUGAUGGGUUCAAACUAUUUUAACUUGCAACAAAUUCAGUAAUAAAAUCCUUCAUGUUUCUAAAAAUACUUGUGCACAAUAUAGGUUUGUCUGGCCAGACUGUAGAAAAACAAAAAAACAGACUAUAGAAAAACAAAACCAGAUUGUAGAAAAACAAAACAGACUAUAGGAAGACUGAAACUGACUGAAACAGACUAUUAAUGACUAUUAAAGGGAAGACGACUAUUAGAGAGAAGUAAUAAUUACUGUACGUACCAGACUAUUAAAGAAAAACCUAUUCUUUCACUGUCUUGUGCAACAUCUGACAGCAAGACACCUUAACAUUCAUCUUUGCUUUCAAACUUGUGCCCAGUUAAAUUUUUAGGAAGAGAUCUCAUGUAGUUUAGAUAUUUGAUUGAUUUCCACUCCAGACGGAGUGCAGGUUACAUCUACAGACAUUCUAAAUAAUCCCUCUUUUGUUGGUGUUAACUUCAGCUCAGCUGUGCUCUUAUCAUUGGCUGCUGAGGGGGGGCUGUAACUGAGGCCCUCACACAGGCUGCAUCACAGCUUGUUUAUGAUUUCACACACACACACAAACUGACCUCAACUUCCCUCUUUUGGGAUGAACACAGGUCUGCGCUUGCGAUUUCUUUUACUAACGAACAAAAAGAUUUUGAUGUUUAUUCUACAGCUCCACACGUCCCUCUGUGAAAACAUGAUGGAGACAGAUGCAGGACGUGGGUCCUUUCGUGAACAGAUGUGAACGGGGUGGAGACUGGUGAACGACUUCUGACCCCAUAGGACGCUCUGACCCAACACUCAGCCUUACAGGAAGCCCUGCUUCCCUGUGGCUCACACACAGACAUGAUGUAGGUUCGAUCAGAGGAUGUGAACCAGUGGUCAUCACACCUAAAUCUGACCACAGACCAUGUAAACAACAACACCCUCUUAAAGGAAGCCAUAGAUGGUGUUACUGCAGACACCACUAAGCUACUGAAACAUUGGAUGCUACAGGCCACAAAGAGAGCCUGUCUAAAUUACACUUUGUUCAGACAAAGGUUAUUUUCUGGGUCAUUGUAAUUACAGCUGAUGGCAAAUCCAUCUCACCCAACAGAGUUGAAGCAAUUUGAAACCUGCCUAAACCGUGCACGUAUAAACAGCUGAUGUCUUUUCUAGGUCUUUGUUCUUAUUGUAGGACUUUCGUUCCUAACUUUACUGUCUUUGAGGCCCCACUCAGGGUUCUGAUGCAGACGUCUUCAUCGUCCACUUCUUGUCUCACGUGGACGUCUGAGGCUGAACAACGUUCACCGACCUCAUGCUUGCUCUUCAGUCGACUCCUACUUUGGGUCUUCCUGAUCUGACCCUAUGCGACCUUUCACUCAAACAGUGGAUGAGAGAUCAGGUUGUACGACUUCUGUUCUUUGUCCUCAUACUGUGUCUUUGAUUCUUUUGGAAAACAUCACAUCUUUCCACAGCUCGACGGCUUAGAUACAACACCACCUUACUCAACAUGCUGAAAAUUACUAUCAAGAGUCCGUCGUGAAGUCUGGCGCUUUGCUAAGACACUACUCUGCUCAGGCUGCAGAGUUGAUUGUGUUGACUGAAGCUAGUAAACUAGCAGAAGGAGAGUCUGUUACCAUCUACACAGACUCACAGACGCUCUGUGGAAGCAUAGGAAGCUUUUGAAGUCUGAUUGCAAACCUAUCUCACUUCAUGAUUAGGUUCUGCUUUGCUGGACGCUGUCCUGCUGCCUACAGCUAAUGCUGUUUGUAACUGUCCGACUCUGACACUGACACCAUCAGUGACGACUUUGUUUCUGCCGACAUGCAGCUGCAGACGCUGCUGCGAAGGUCGCUGCCCAACAACCCCUCCCUCUCCUGAUCCUCGUUUCCUCUUGUUCCCUCUCCAACUCUCUCUAUCCUUUCCUUCCUCAUCUCCCUGUGCUUUAAACAUUUUGUACCUCACAGGAACGCAGACUCUGGCUGACGAAUGGUUCCACCUGUAGCCAUGGAGUCUGGUUUGGGCCUGAUGGCAGCCGUGCCGCCCAAACACCUUUUCCCCACAAUUCAGGUUUCCAACAGGUGAAAACAGGCGACAGGACCAUUACACCAUUCAACCAGGGGACUGAGCGAUCGUUAAGGAGUUCAGGAGGAAACACUGGAACUCCAAACGGUGGCGAGGCCCCUUCCACGUCCUUCUGACGACCAACACGGCUGUGAAGAUCGCAGAAAGAGCGACUUGGAUCAACUCCAUCCAGGAAGGUCCCGGAUCCAACAGACGACCCUCCAUCUACACCACACGAGAAAGCCACCACUGACGAAAAGAACUGAGAAGGACGACCCUUGCUGUGCUCACACACGCACUGCGGCGAGGCUGCGUUGACCGUUCAGCUAAAGGUGGGAGCCAAGCGCCGCCUGAAGCUGCGCCGGUGAAUCACACUAUCAGACCAACAUCUACACACACGCUCCUGAGAAAACACACACACGAGCAGCCUUGAGUUGCCAACGCUGGACGACGUGUAGACUCUUCACAUCACGGGGAGUGACAGUGACUCAGACGACAUUGGGAGGAAACCUGGCGGUGAUAACGAAUCCCAAAUGUCUCUGUGAUCAGCUGAUCACAACCUGAAGAACUCCAACGAACUGUCAAUACUUCAACACACAGGUUGGAAACAAUCUAACGCUACUGUUCAACAGGAAGAAGCAGAUUGUUACGAGACAUCAAUUGUAAACAUGCUUUGUUAGACUUCAUUUUAUGUUACUUGGAUUAUUGCCUUUAGCAUAUGAUGUUUCUAUGUAACUUUACACACUACUUUUGAAUGAGAAAAUUCACAACAACAACAACACUGAGUUUAAAUAUCCUGAAGUUGACUUGGUGUUUAAUUUGCUCACAAUCACUUUAUUCACUGCUACAAUUAGUUCUAUCCUUCAUCUACAGAUGAAAGACAACAGAAGCGGAAAUAUGCAUCAUCAUUCUGGUUAAAUCCCUGAAUCUCCUAUUCGCUCUAGACGCAAAUGUACAAUUAAAGAUCCGAAAGCAUUAAAUCUAUCUUAAGAAUAUAUGAAACAGAACCCCACCGGAAACGUAUGGCUAUCAUACAUUAAUUGUCUUUAUUACAUUACAAUUGAAUGGCCGUAGACACGUUGUUAGCAGAGAAAAGAGGCGUUUGUGUUAUGUUUGGAGAGGCAUGUUGUACUUACAUCCUGAAUAACACUGAUUCUAAUGGUAUUGUGGCGAAGGCGCUACACGGCCUUCAGAAUCUCAGCUAACUCUGGUAUAGAUUCUUCCUCUUGGAAUUGGCUAGACGAAAUGUCUGGAAAAUGGAAAUCUGUUCUCAUGUCCACAGCUGUUUCCUUUAUAAUUGAGAUGGCUGUGAUUCUCUUGUUUGGUUUUUGCGUUAUCCCACUGGUUAGAGGUCUCAUCAUGCGUGCGACCUCAGCAACACUCUCGUAUGAGAUGGCACAAUGCACUAUGUUCAAAAACCCCAACUCUAAUUUACUUAAUGACUUUGACGAUGGUCUUAGGCUAUCUGACCACAAAAUAUAAUAUGAUACAAAUAUGAUAAUGAGCUUAUUUUCUUCACAUGCCAAUACAGAAGUUAUUCUUGUAUAACUACCCACCAAAAACAGCUCCCAACCUUUUGUCCCUUAGUUACUUCCAUUUUAUGUGAAGGUGUAUUUUGAAUCUUGAUGAGUUAAUACCCUUAUUGUUUCAUUUGCAAGGAUCUUUUAUUAUUACAGAAUGUGAUGUUGACAAUUUCUCUUCUUAGUGGUUGAUUAAUGUGUAAUCAAAAGGGGGGAGUGUUAUGGCAAAAAUUGUCUCUUCCUUAUUUCUAUGUCUCUUCCUUAUUUCUAUGCAGUUAUUAUACGAGUUAUGACUUAUGUUCUGCAAUUAAUAUCUUAUGUUUUGUCUUACUGUAUGCAUUUGACAUUUCACCUAGAUUGUUCAAUGGUUGUCUCUGCCUGAUAGACUCUCAACUCUAGCUCCCAAACCCAAGGUCGGGGAGUUGUGUCUCUGUCUGUUGAGACUUGGUGCUCCUUUCUCACAGAUAGUUGGACGUCAGCGAUGCAGGUGUGAGAAAGUAAAAAUCUUCACACACACUGCGACAGGGAGGAGAUGGUGCAUGUAAUUUGAUUGGGUUAGAAAGACAUUCCACCCUAGUCGGACAGAGAAGCUAAAAGGCAGAAGCAACUUGAGGAUCGUGGGCUCUUUGCAUCACACCUUCGUGGUGUGUGCACUGAUCUCCCCAGCUGGUUUUUGGUUUGUUGAUGUGCACGAUCAACAUCCAUGCUUUUUAUUUGCUUUCCCCAUUAUUUUUAUUUUCUUUAUUAUUUUAAUAAAUCGCACAAAAGGACAA